rnacentral:rRNA from 1 species
GAUGAACGCUGGCGGCGUGCCUAAUACAUGCCAGUCGAGCGAACAGAUGAGGAGCUUGCUCCUCUGACGUUAGCGGCGGACGGGUGAGUAACACGUGGAUAACCUACCUAUAAGACUGGGAUAACUUCGGGAAGCCGGAGCUAAUACCGGAUAAUAUAUUGAACCGCAUGGUUCAAUAGUGAAAGACGGUUUUGCUGUCACUUAUAGAUGGAUCCGCGCCGCAUUAGCUAGUUGGUAAGGUAACGGCUUACCAAGGCAACGAUGCGUAGCCGACCUGAGAGGGUGAUCGGCCACACUGGAACUGAGACACGGUCCAGACUCCUACGGGAGGCAGCAGUAGGGAAUCUUCCGCAAUGGGCGAAAGCCUGACGGAGCAACGCCGCGUGAGUGAUGAAGGUCUUCGGAUCGUAAAACUCUGUUAUUAGGGAAGAACAAAUGUGUAAGUAACUAUGCACGUCUUGACGGUACCUAAUCAGAAAGCCACGGCUAACUACGUG